GAUGAACGCUGGCGGCGUGCCUAAUACAUGCAAGUCGAGCGAAUGGAUUAAGAGCUUGCUCUUAUGAAGUUAGCGGCGGACGGGUGAGUAACACGUGGGUAACCUGCCCAUAAGACUGGGAUAACUCCGGGAAACCGGGGCUAAUACCGGAUAACAUUUUGAACCGCAUGGUUCGAAAUUGAAAGGCGGCUUCGGCUGUCACUUAUGGAUGGACCGGCGUCGCAUUAGCUAGUUGGUGAGGUAACGGCUCACCAAGGCAACGAUGCGUAGCCGACCUGAGAGGGUGAGCGGCCACACUGGGACUGAGACACGGCCCAGACUCCUACGGGAGGCAGCAGUAGGGAAUCUUCCGCAAUGGACGAAAGUCUGACGGAGCAACGCCGCGUGAGUGAUGAAUGCUUUCGGGUCGUAAAACUCUGUUGUUAGGGAAGAACAAGUGCUAGUUGAAUAAGCUGACACCUUGACGGUACCUAACCAGAAAGCCACGGCUAACUACGUGCCAGCAGCCGCCGUAA
rnacentral:rRNA from 1 species